AUUGAACGCUGGCGGCAGGCCUAACACAUGCAAGUCGAACGAGUGGCGGACGGGUGAGUAAUGUCUGGGAAACUGACUGAUGGAGGGGGAUAACUACUGGAAACGGUAGCUAAUACCGCAUACCAUCAGAUGUGCCCAGAUGGGAUUCGCUUGUUGGUGGGGUAACGGCUCACCAAGGCGACGAUCCCUAGCUGGUCUGAGAGGAUGGCCAGACAAACUGGGACUGAGGCCCGGUCCGGACUCCUACGGUGGUCAGCAGUGGGGAUUAUUGCACAAUGGGGGCAAGCCUGAUGCAGCCAUGCCGCGUGUAUGAAGAAGGCCUUCGGGUUGUAAAGUACUUUCAGCGGGGAGGCGUUACCCGCAGAAGAAGCACCGGCUAGCUCCGUGCCAGCGGCCGCGAUAAUAC
rnacentral:rRNA from 1 species